rnacentral:rRNA from 1 species
GACGAACGCUGGCGGCGUGCUUAACACAUGCAAGUCGAACGGAAAGGCCCUGCUUUUGUGGGGUGCUCGAGUGGCGAACGGGUGAGUAACACGUGAGUAACCUGCCCUUGACUUUGGGAUAACUUCAGGAAACUGGGGCUAAUACCGGAUAGGAGCUCCUGCUGCAUGGUGGGGGUUGGAAAGUUUCGGCGGUUGGGGAUGGACUCGCGGCUUAUCAGCUUGUUGGUGGGGUAGUGGCUUACCAAGGCUUUGACGGGUAGCCGGCCUGAGAGGGUGACCGGCCACAUUGGGACUGAGAUACGGCCCAGACUCCUACGGGGGGCAGCAGUGGGGAAUAUUGCACAAUGGGCGGAAGCCUGAUGCAGCAACGCCGCGUGCGGGAUGACGGCCUUCGGGUUGUAAACCGCUUUCGCCUGUGACGAAGCGUGAGUGACGGUAUGGGUAAAGAAGCACCGGCUAACUACGUG